AAAAAAAAAAAAAAAACCCACCUUGAAGUUCCAUUAUAGCUUGAUGCUAAUUAUCUACAUUCUAUACUAUUAUAUUAUAAAUGUCCUAUUAAGUUUCAAUUACAAUUUUAUCUCUGAAUAAUAAAAACUUUGACAUGGUAUUCAUUGAUCUUUAAAAAAGAAAAAAAAAAGAUACGGAAUAAAGUUCUUUGGUAGGUGCUAAAGAAGAAAGAAGUGAAUCUUAAAUAUAUAAAAUGUCAUCAGAGACAUGUAUCAUGGGGUAGUUACUAAGUGUAAGAAUAGUGGGAGGGGGUAUGGACGAGUUCUUAUAAUAAUGCAUCUAAAUAAUGGAUUGAAUUUGAGUAUGUACCUUGUUACCUUAGCUAUAAAUGAACUAACUAGUCAUAUUCAAGAUAAUGUCCCAUUGUGAAUGUUAUUUGUAGUUAAUAUUAUUUUAGUGGAAGAAAUUAACAAAAGAGUUAACCAAAAGUUAGAGUUAUGGAGAAGGGCUCUUGAGAGUAAAGAUUUUAGGCUAAUUAGAAGUACAAAAGAAUAUAUGUACUACGAGUUUAGCUCUUAUAAAAUGCAUGGAGGGGAGGUUCAAUUGAAUAUGGUUUUAAUGCCAAAAUGCAACUAAUUUAAGUAUUUAAGUUCUAUCAUCUGGAAGAACAAAGUAAUAGAAGAGGAUGUAACUCAUAAGAUCAAAAUGGAUCAAACGGGAAGAAUGAAAUGGAGGAGUGCAAUGGGUGUGCUAUACGGCCAUAGGAUCCCUAAAAAUGUGAAAGGUAUGUUCUUUAGAAUUGAGAUCAGCUUGCCAUGUUGAUGGGAGUGAAUGUCAGGCAUGUAAGAUACAACAUUCCCACAAGAAGAGUGCGACACAAAUGAAGAGGUUACGAUGAAUGUUUGGCACUACAAUAAUUGACAAGAUUAGGAAUAACCCAAUCCGACAAAGAGUGCACAUAGUACAUAUUGGGAAUAAAAUGAAAAAUGAUCAAUUUAGAUAAUCUGGUCAUAUCCAAUGUAGAGCGGCAAUGGCCCGGUAUGAAAGUGUGAAAAAUUAGUAAUAGAAUGAUGAGAAGGAAAAGAGGGAGAUCUAAAAUGAUUUUUAAAGAUCAUUCCAUAAAAUAUUUGAACGAAGAUCUUUCUUUCUCUACCCUAUCUCUCUUUCUCUUCUGAAGUUUAAUUUCCCCUCUCUGUCUCUACAGUUUCUUCCCUUCUCUUCUAUACCCAAUUCUUGAUCUGUUAGGGUUCCAAAACCCUAGCAAGUGUUAUCAAAGCUUUCAAGUGGUGGUCAGUACUCGCUUCCUAAUUCAUCGAAGUCACAUCCAUGUUUAAAUUCAGGUUUAGUUUUGUUCUCUCUUUCUCUCUUCUUUUCCUCCACAAUAACUACCCUCCUAAUCCUCUUAUAUUGUAUGUAACAAGACAUUAAGGUUUGAUAAAGUGAAUUAACCUUCCACCUUGUUUUUGACAAGGUGAGAAGCAGUAAAAGGAAAAUUUCAUGGAUUUAUUAUAACCACCUUCCUUUAAAACUCUAACCAACCAAUUUGGUGGGAUAAGAAGAUUUACUAGACUUGUCUCCUGAUAAACAUUAACGUCUACAAAUAAUAUCCUUUUUUUUUCCUUCUUUUUGUUCAAAAAGUUAAAAACAUUGUAACAGAAUCUUAUUUUACUUACCAUAUCUUGCAUUACAACUUUGCUUCACCAUCCCUAAUGCCAAACACGUAAUAGGCUAGCAAGCUUUGCUACUUUGUCCAAAUUUG
rnacentral:misc_RNA from 1 species